rnacentral:rRNA from 1 species
UGGGGAAUAUUGCACAAUGGGCGAAAGCCUGGUGCAGCAACGCCGCGUGGAGGAUGAAGGCCUUCGGGUUGUAAACUCUUGUCUUCUGGGACGAUAAUGACGGUACCAGAGGAGGAAGCCACGGCUAACUACGUGCCAGCAGCCGCGGUAAUACGUAGGUGGCAAGCGUUGUCCGGAUUUACUGGGCGUAAAGGAUGCGUAGGCGGAUGUUUAAGUGGGAUGUGAAAUACCCGGGCUCAACCUGGGUGCUGCAUUCCAAACUGGAUAUCUGGAGUGCGGGAGAGGAAAGUGGAAUUCCUAGUGUAGCGGUGAAAUGCGUAGAGAUUAGGAAGAACACCAGUGGCGAAGGCGACUUUCUGAACCGUAACUGACGCUGAGGCAUGAAAGCGUGGGGAGCAAACA